GGAGGCAGAGGCAGGAGGAUUUCUGAGUUCGAGGCCAGCCUGGUCUACAAAGUGAGUUCCAGGACAGCCAGGGCUACACAGAGAAACCCUGUCUCGAAAAAACCAAAAAAAAAAAAAAAAAAAAAAAAAAAGACCCAGGUUUGGUUCUCAGCACCCAUACAGUAGCUCACAACCAUGACCCAGGGGAUCUAGUUCCAGAGGAACAUACACAUAAACUCUUUUUAAAAAAUAAUUAAUUUUUUUUUAGAUAAAAAAAAUGGUGGUUUCAGGGUCUAGAGAUGGCUCAGUGGCUAAUGAAUGUUCCUUGGUGUUCUAGAGGAUCUGAGUUCAGUUUCUAGUAUCCUCAUCAGGUGACUCACAACUUCCUCUAACUCCAGCUUUAGGGGAUCCAAUAGCUCACUUUGGGACUCUGAGAAUACCUGGCACUCACAUGGGAACAUAGCCACAUAGAGACACACAUACAGAUAUAUGUUUUUUACAUUUAUUUUAUGUAUAGGAGUGCUCUAUCUGCAUGUAUACUUGCAUGCCAGAAGAGGGCAUCAGAUCCCAUUAUAGAUGGCUAUGAGCUACCAUGUGGUUACUGGGACCUGAACUCAGGGCCUCCGGAAAAGCCGUCAGUGCCCUUAACCAUUGAGCCAUCUCUCCAGCCCCAUACACCUUUUUUUUUCUAAAGAUUUAUUUUAUUUAUAUGAGUAUGCUGUAACUGUCUUCAGACACACCAGAAGAGGGCAUUGGAUCCCAUUACAGGUGGAUCCCAUUGUGAGCCACCAUGUGGUUGCUGGGAAUUGAACUCAGGACCUUUGGAAGAGCAGUCAAUGCCCCUAACUGCUGAGCCAUCUCUCCAGCACCUCCAGACACCUUUACAGAUAAAAUUUUAAAAGUAUUUUUUAAAAACUUGGUGUGCCAGUUGAGGAUCUUUGUGACUUUGAGGCCAGUCUGGUCUACAUAGUGAGUUCCAGGCUAGCCACACAUUCAUAGUAAGACCCUGUUUUAAAACAACAACAGCAAAAAUAAAAUAUGUUAGUCUUUAAGUGUGGGUCUGCAAUCCACACUUAAAGGUAGGCCCCAUGCCCAACCAAUACAAAAUGAAUUCAAUUAUAUUUUUGAAUUUUUUUUUCUUCUUGUAAUGCUUUAUCUGGUCCUUUUUGGUUGUUCCUUUGGUUUUCCAAGACAAGAUUUCUCUGUGUAGCUCUGGCUAUCCUGAAACUCCCUAUGUAGACCAGGCUGGCUCUGAACAAAGAGAUCCACCUGCCACUGCUUCUCAAGUGCUGGGAUUAAAGGUUGUGUACU
rnacentral:lncRNA from 1 species